GAUGAACGCUGGCGGCGUGCCUAAUACAUGCAAGUCGAGCGAACAGACGAGGAGCUUGCUCCUCUGACGUUAGCGGCGGACGGGUGAGUAACACGUGGAUAACCUACCUAUAAGACUGGGAUAACUUCGGGAAACCGGAGCUAAUACCGGAUAAUAUAUUGAACCGCAUUGUUCAAUAGUGAAAUACGGUUUUGCUGUCACUUAUAGAUGGAUCCGCGCCGCAUUAGCUAGUUGGUAAGGUAACGGCUUACCAAGGCAACGAUGCGUAGCUGACCUGAGAGGGGGAUCGGCCACACUGGAACUGAGACACGGUCCAGACUCCUACGGGAGGCAGCAGUAGGGAAUCUUCCGCAAUGGGCGAAAGCCUGACGGAGCAACGCCGCGUGAGUGAUGAAGGUCUUCGGAUCGUAAAACUCUGUUAUUAGGGAAGAACAAAUGUGUAAGUAACUAUGCACGUCUUGACGGUACCUAAUCAGAAAGCCACGGCUAACUACGUG
rnacentral:rRNA from 1 species